UUUUCGUUGUUGCAGCUUGGUUCUCCAUACAAAGUCCCAGUUUUCUAUUGCUCUCUCUCUUCACAAGUUUCUCUCAGAGAAUAGGGUAUGAAUCUUUACGUCUCUUAACUGAAAUAAACCUAUGAAAAUUAGCUUCUUUCUCGAUUGGGGAUUAAUUUGUCAGCUCAUGAAAUUGGAGGACGGAGGCUCAGUACAUCACCGCGAAAAUGUCAGAGUGGUGGGACAUAGAACUUCCUGAUCCCUUUGGCGACAGCCACGCCAUUGCCCAGAACAUGAAGCCAGUCAUCGUCAAAUUGAACUACAACGACCCAUUCUCAACCUCCCGCUACGGCGACACCUAAAUCGCAUCGCCCUCAAUCACAUUCUAGCAGGUCUAUCCAGAAGCGACACACCUAAUAAUUCCAUGGUUUUGAGAGGCCAAUCAUCUAUGAUGUCCACGCACAACCCCAUUUCGUGGACAGCACUGCUGGAAGCCGUGACCUCUAGAUGGUAUGAAUAAACCUUUUCCAUCUUUGUACAUUGUCUGAAGGAUAAGUUGAAGAUUGGACAACGUCUGUGAUUGUCGAUUCGUUUAUUCUUUCAAUUUCAGACUG